rnacentral:rRNA from 1 species
UACGAAGGGGGCUAGCGUUGCUCGGAAUGACUGGGCGUAAAGGGCGCGUAGGCGGCUUGUAGAGUCGGGUGUGAAAUUCCUGGGCUUAACCUGGGGGCUGCAUUCGAUACGUAUGGGCUUGAGUGCGGAAGAGGGUCGUGGAAUUCCCAGUGUAGAGGUGAAAUUCGUAGAUAUUCGCAAGAACACCAGUGGCGAAGGCGGCUUACUGGUCCGGAACUGACGCUGAGGUGCGAAAGCGUGGGGAGCAAACAGG